AAUUUAUGGAUUAUAUAACAUUUGCUGACUGAAAAUAUCAACCACAGUGAAUACCAUUCAGCCUCGCUGCCUUGAUUUCCAUUCUGGACAUGGGACAAAUAAGUGAACAACAGUGAUUUCCACUCCUGUUUUCAUUGGAACUGUCCAACAUAAUAUUCAUCCCUAACUCUGAAUUUUAUUGCUUUAUAUAAAUUGCCCAGCAGGGACUCAUUUUGAGAAAGAAGAUAAUUUCUCAGGACUGCACUGGACAGGGUCAGGAUAUUAGAUUGCUUAAGGAAGGAAUAUGAAAAGAAAAUGAUCUUCUGUGAGCCUCAUGCAUACAUAAGUGAACUAAUAUACCGGUAACCAUGCUGUCUUCUACCUUGCUUGAAAAGAAUUUUCUCCAGGAGGUAUCCUUUAAAAAGAAUAAACUACAAAUAAAAACAUUCAAUUUAAUAUUA